rnacentral:rRNA from 1 species
GUCUACGGCCAUACCACCCUGAACGCGCCCGAUCUCGUCUGAUCUCGGAAGCUAAGCAGGGUCGGGCCUGGUUAGUACUUGGAUGGGAGAUUGCCAAGAAACAGGUUCCAUUUCUU